AUGCAAAGUGGGUUCAGAGCAUUCAGAAUGAGAAGCAACUGGCCGAGGCAGUGAAAGAAUUAGCAGAGAGGAAAUGCUAAGGAUGCAGUUUCUUUCCAGGAAGUUUUCGGUUUCUUUAAAACAAGCUGCCAAAAUAAAAAUUGUAUGUGAUUGUGGAUAUGCACGUAUUAGCAAUCCUUCAUCACAACAAAUAUAUCAUGGAUCUUGAGCCUGUGCUCUUAGUCUGUAUGGUUCAAUGUUUAAUCUUUCUCCUGCAU
rnacentral:misc_RNA from 1 species